UUCCUUGUCCUUUUAGCUCAUGUUCAUCAUUGUUUUGAACACACUAUCGUGUUUAGAUUCAUAUUUAUCAGCAUUAUGCUUUUGGUAUUAUGUUUAUCCUCUUUUCGGUAUGAUUUGAAUCCUGUUGUUUAUUAUUAUUACUUUUUUGAGUUUAGUCUUACGAUUGCUUCCCAAGAUUCACACAAGUUGUGAUUAUGAAAAAGAAAACAGCUUUCUUUUCUGGGUUUCAAGAAACAGAAGCACUAAGUUGUUUUUGAUUUUUCUUUGUUUUAGUGGCUGAAACCAUUUUCAAAAUUUUCCUCUGUUGUUACAGGAAUUAUCACUGAUCUACAAAGGAUUUACGGGAUAACGUCUCCUGAGCGGCUCAACCAGACUGCUGACUCUUACACCAACCACAUAGGUUCUCCAAUUUAAGUUUUAAAGAACAAUGCCAUUAACUGUUUUUACUAGCCUUCCCGUCUCUUUAUCUUGAAGGCAGAUGGAGUUUUGAGUGGUUUGGAUACAACACCAUGCGUCACUUGCUGCUUAGUAUAUAUUCGAGCAAUUUUCUUACUUUGUAUCUUGGUCAUCAACAUUCAGUUUAUAUCUUGAGAUUCUAAACAUUCUUCUACCUGUUUGGGACUGUGGCAGGAGCUUUUCUUCAUCAUUUGUGAGUCUAUCAAAUAUGGACACUGUCAUUAAAGAGUCUAGCGCAAAGGAAACCACUGACGUCAAUCAGCUAAACAUGAUAGAAAAUGAAGUCGAAAUUAACACUGAACGGGCCUGUAAGGGUGUCGGAGGAAUAUUUAUCGGGAAUAUUUGAAUCGCCAACUGUAUUGAAGAAGAAGUAUCAGAUCAACUGAGAGGUUUACAUGGUCAAGCUACCACGGUGAUGCUGCAGCUUCCUGAACCUGUCGCGGACACUCUACCAAAUUGUCUAAGAGUCCACUUGGUGAAUCUGAGUCCAUGUUCUUCAUGAUAUCUUAAUGUAAAUAUCCUUUGAAACUUUUGACAAUUUACUGUGAAUGUAAGUUAAAUCUUCCUGUGUGCUGCUGUAUGGGCAUUGUCUUUAGCUAAUGCAAACUUUCACAAUCAAAUAUAGACUUCUAAAGUUAUUCUAUCAGGGAUCUGUAUCUUUUGUGCUUUCGGACAUAAAGUUAAUAAAAUCAUUUUUAAACC